rnacentral:rRNA from 1 species
GACGAACGCUGGCGGCGUGCUUAACACAUGCAAGUCGAACGGAAAGGCCCUGCUUUUGUGGGGUGCUCGAGUGGCGAACGGGUGAGUAACACGUGAGUAACCUGCCCUUGACUUUGGGAUAACUUCAGGAAACUGGGGCUAAUACCGUAUAGCAGCUCCUGCUCCAUGGUGGGGGUUGGAACGUUUCGGCGGUUGGGGAUGGACUCGCGGCUUAUCAGCUUGUUGGUGGGGUAGUGGCUUACCAAGGCUUUCACGGGUCGCCGGCAUGAGAGGGUGACCGGCGACAUGGGGACUGAGGGACGCACCAGACGCGUACGGGGGGCAACAGGGGGGAGUAUUGCACAGUGAGCGGAAGCCUGAGGCGGAAACGCCGCGGGCGGGAUGACGGCCUGCGGGUUGUGAACCGCUUUCGCCUGUGACGAAGCGGGAGUGACGGUAAUGGGUAAAGAAGCACCGGCUAACUACGUG